rnacentral:lncRNA from 1 species
AGAAUUCUAGUUUCAAUGUGAUCAUUUAAUCCAUGAUUUUACUUAUCAUGAUACCGCCAUGUAUAUACCAUAUUGAUGUAGUAAAUGUAGUUACAGAUUAUCACAUAACUAAUGCAUUUCAAGUGGGUUUCCUUGAAGAAAAUAAAAAGGAUUUUAAAUGGGUUAUUUAUUUGUGCAAUCAAAGUGAUUGAUAUUACUAUACUCUAACUUAAAAACAUCAAAAUCUCUAAUAUCACGUUUGAUCUAGCUUGUUCAACUUAAAGCUCUUUUGUAAGGCUUUUACUUCAUCAAAACUCAGUCUUCUUUUCAUCUCCAACAUUAAGCUACCAUGUUCAUUGCGUUAUUAUCUUGCUCCAAGCCAUUUUACAUUAGCGGAAACUAUCAUCUUCAUAUUGUGCUUCAUUACUCCGAUUCACACCUACUAUGGUAAGGAAUAAAACCAAUUGGAAAUUUUGAAUCAAACAUGAAGCAUAACUUAAUUGUUAAAUCAGAUGGCUUGUAAAAGCAACACAAAGUUGGACUUAGUCAUUCUUUCAAAUUUAAUUUUAUUAUCAAUAUGCAAUCAGACGAAACCUAAACUGUUAAAAAGACUAAAACCUCCAACACAAACCUCGUUAGCUUCAAUAAGGUCCUCAAUCUACAUCCCUCCUAGUGUUGAGAAGAUCAUUGCUCAAAGGAACAAAAUUAUGUCCAGAUAUACUACUAACACCAUGUGUCACACGAAUUUCUGCAUUUCGCAUCCUAAUAGAAUAUAGAAAAACAUCCAUCAGAAAAUACAUGUGAUUCAUUUGUUAUAAAAAUAUAAAAAACUAAAGACACGGUUUUAAGUUUUUACUUAGAUUUGUAAUCAGCAAAUUCAGGAUAAUCCCCGUUAAUGAUCAAUUUUGUUCCAAAAAAGGAAUUUGAAAC